GACGAACGCUGGCGGCGUGCUUAACACAUGCAAGUCGAGCGGUAAGGCCCUUUCGGGGGUACGACGAGCGGCGAACGGGUGAGUAACACGUGGGUGACCUGCCCUCAGCUCUGGGAUAAGCCUGGGAAACCGGGUCUAAUACCGGAUAUGACUCCAUGACGCAUGUUGUGGGGUGGAAAGCCUUGUGCGGCUGAGGAUGGGCCCGCGGCCUAUCAGCUUGUUGGUGGGGUGAUGGCCUACCAAGGCGACGACGGGUAGCCGGCCUGAGAGGGCGACCGGCCACACUGGGACUGAGACACGGCCCAGACUCCGACGGGAGGCAGCAGUGGGGAAUCUUGCGCAAUGGGCGAAAGCCUGACGCAGCGACGCCGCGUGAGGGAUGACGGCCU
rnacentral:rRNA from 1 species